rnacentral:rRNA from 1 species
AUGAACGCUGGCGGCGUGCCUCAUACAUGCAAGUCGAGCGAACGGACGAGAAGCUUGCUUCUCUGAUGUUAGCGGCGGACGGGUGAGUAACACGUGGAUAACCUACCUAUAAGACUGGGAUAACUUCGGGAAACCGGAGCUAAUACCGGAUAAUAUUUUGAACCGCAUGGUUCAAAAGUGAAAGACGGUCCUGCUGUCACUUAUAGAUGGAUCCGCGCUGCAUUAGCUAGUUGGUAAGGUAAUGGCUUACCAAGGCAACGAUGCAUAGCCGACCUGAGAGGGUGAUCGGCCACACUGGAACUGAGACACGGUCCAGACUCCUACGGGAGGCAGCAGUAGGGAAUCUUCCGCAAUGGGCGAAAGCCUGACGGAGCAACGCCGCGUGAGUGAUGAAGGUCUUCGGAUCGUAAAACUCUGUUAUUAGGGAAGAACAUAUGUGUAAGUAACUGUGCACAUCUUGACGGUACCUAAUCAGAAAGCCACGGCUAACUACGUG